GACGAACGCUGGCGGCGUGCUUAACACAUGCAAGUCGAACGGAAAGGCCCUGCUUUUGUGGGGUGCUCGAGUGGCGAACGGGUGAGUAACACGUGAGUAACCUGCCCUUGACUUUGGGAUAACUUCAGGAAACUGGGGCUAAUACCGGAUCGGAGCUCCUGCUGCAUGGUGGGGGUUGGAAAGUUUCGGCGGUUGGGGAUGGACUCGCGGCUUAUCAGCUUGUUGGUGGGGUAGUGGCUUACCAAGGCUUUGACGGGUAGCCGGCCUGAGAGGGUGACCGGCCACCUUGGUACUGAGAGAGGGACCAGACUCCUACGUGAGGCAGCAGUGGCGAAUAUUGUACAAUGGGCGGAAGCCUGAGGCAGCAACGCCGCGUGCGGGAUGACGUCCUUCGGGUUGUAAACCGCUUUCGCCUGUGACGAAGCGUGAGUGACGGUAAUGGGUAAAGAAGCACCGGCUAACUACGUG
rnacentral:rRNA from 1 species